ACAUUAAAAAAAACUGUGAAACUAUACAAAGGGUGCAAGGGCGGCCUUAUUGCUAAUGCAAUCUCUUACAGGC